GCAUCAUGAUUUGGGCAACUUCGAAUAAUUCCUUUAAAGCACUCCCAAGCCUCAUAGAAAAAUUCAAGAUCCUUUUGGGCAAAGGACAUGAUAUUCGCCCUAAUUU